rnacentral:misc_RNA from 1 species
AACGCACAUUGCGCCCUUUGGUAUUCCUUAGGGCAUGCCUGUUCGAGCGUCAUAUAAUUACUCAAGCAAAGCUUGGUUAUGGGUGCCUGUCCCGCCCCGUGCGUGGACUCACCUCAAAUCCAUUGGCGGCCCCCCGCCGGCCACGAGCGCAGCAGAAACGCGGUCUCGUGCCCCGGUAGGGCGGCCCCCAGAAGCAAACCCCCCAUUUUUGACCUCGGAUCAGGUAGGGAUACCCGCUGAACUUAA